rnacentral:misc_RNA from 1 species
GAAAUGCGAUAAGUAAUGUGAAUUGCAGAAUUCCAUGAAUCAUCGAAUCUUUGAACGCACAUUGCGCCCUCUGGCAUUCCGGGGGGGAUGCCUGUCCGAGCGUCAUUACGCACCCUCAAGCCCGGCUUGUGUGAUGGGCCCCGGCGUCUCGUUCGCGAGACGGGCCCGAAAGGCAGCGGCGGCGUCGACCCGAUGAGCCCGAGCGUAUGGGGACUUCUGUCACACGUUCGCGGUGCGGACCGGCGCCUGCUUGACUUUUCUGAUUAUCCAGGUUGACCUCGGAUCAGGUAGGGAUACCCGCUGAACUUAAGC